rnacentral:rRNA from 1 species
GUUUGAUCAUGGCUACGAGGACGAACGCUGGCGGCGUGCCUAACACAUGCAAGUCGAACGGAAGUAAGAGCUUCGGUUUUUACUUUAGUGGCGAACGGGUGAGUAACGCGUGAGGAACCUGCCUUUCAGAGGGGGACAACAGUUGGAAACGACUGCUAAUACCGCAUGACACAUCGGGGUCGCAUGGCUCUGAUGUCAAAGAUUUAUCGCUGAAAGAUGGCCUCGCGUCUGAUUAGAUAGUUGGUGAGGUAACGGCCCACCAAGUCUACGAUCAGUAGCCGGACUGAGAGGUUGAACGGCCACAUUGGGACUGAGAUACGGCCCAGACUCCUACGGGAGGCAGCAGUGGGGAAUAUUGCACAAUGGGGGAAACCCUGAUGCAGCGACGCCGCGUGGAGGAAGAAGGUCUUCGGAUUGUAAACUCCUGUUGUUGAGGAAGAUAAUGACGGUACUCAACAAGGAAGUGACGGCUAACUACGUG